UACGUAGGGUGCGAGCGUUGCCCGGAUUUAUUGGGCGUAAAGGGCGCGUAGGCGGCUACGCACGUCCGUUGUGAAAUCGCCCGGCUCAACUGGGCGGGGUCGGCGGAUACGGCGUGGCUGGAGCAAGCUAAGGGGCAGUGGAAUUCCCGGUGUAGUGGUGGAAUGCGUAGAUAUCGGGAGGAACACCAGUGGCGAAGGCGGCUGCCUGGGGCUUUGCUGACGCUGAUGCGCGAAAGCGUGGGGAGCGAUCCGG
rnacentral:rRNA from 1 species